rnacentral:rRNA from 1 species
UACGGAGGGUGCAAGCGUUGCUCGGAAUUAUUGGGCGUAAAGGGUAGGUAGGUGGUCUCAUUUGUCUGGGGUGAAAGCCUUGAGCUUAACUCAAGAAGUGCCCCAGAAACGGUGAGACUGGAGUCCUGGAGAGGGUCGUGGAAUUCCCGGUGUAGCGGUGAAAUGCGUAGAGAUCGGGAGGAAGACCAGUGGCGAAGGCGGGUCUCUGGACAGUUCCUGACACUGAGGCACGAAGGCCAGGGGAGCAAACGGG